rnacentral:rRNA from 1 species
GGGAUAAUACUUGGAAACAGGUGCUAAUACCGUAUAACAAUCGAAACCGCAUGGUUUUGAUUUGAAAGGCGCUUUCGGGUGUCGCUGAUGGAUGGACCCGCGGUGCAUUAGCUAGUUGGUGAGGUAACGGCUCACCAAGGCCACGAUGCAUAGCCGACCUGAGAGGGUGAUCGGCCACAUUGGGACUGAGACACGGCCCAAACUCCUACGGGAGGCAGCAGUAGGGAAUCUUCGGCAAUGGACGAAAGUCUGACCGAGCAACGCCGCGUGAGUGAAGAAGGUUUUCGGAUCGUAAAACUCUGUUGUUAGAGAAGAACAAGGAUGAGAGUAACUGUUCAUCCCUUGACGGUAUCUAACCAGAAAGCCACGGCUAACUACGUGCCAGCAGCCGCGGUAAUACGUAGGUGGCAAGCGUUGUCCGGAUUUAUUGGGCGUAAAGCGAGCGCAGGCGGUUUCUUAAGUCUGAUGUGAAAGCCCCCGGCUCAACCGGGGAGGGUCAUUGGAAACUGGGAGACUUGAGUGCAGAAGAGGAGAGUGGAAUUCCAUGUGUAGCGGUGAAAUGCGUAGAUAUAUGGAGGAACACCAGGGGCGAAGGCGGCUCUCUGGUCUGUAACUGACGCUGAGGCUCGAAAGCGUGGGGAGCAAACAGGAUUAGAUACCCUGGUAGUCCACGCCGUAAACGAUGAGUGCUAAGUGUUGGAGGGUUUCCGCCCUUCAGUGCUGCAGCUAACGCAUUAAGCACUCCGCCUGGGGAGUACGACCGCAAGGUUGAAACUCAAAGGAAUUGACGGGGGCCCGCACAAGCGGUGGAGCAUGUGGUUUAAUUCGAAGCAACGCGAAGAACCUUACCAGGUCUUGACAUCCUUUGACCACUCUAGAGAUAGAGCUUCCCCUUCGGGGGCAAAGUGACAGGUGGUGCAUGGUUGUCGUCAGCUCGUGUCGUGAGAUGUUGGGUUAAGUCCCGCAACGAGCGCAACCCUUAUUGUUAGUUGCCAUCAUUCAGUUGGGCACUCUAGCAAGACUGCCGGUGACAAACCGGAGGAAGGUGGGGAUGACGUCAAAUCAUCAUGCCCCUUAUGACCUGGGCUACACACGUGCUACAAUGGGAAGUACAACGAGUUGCGAAGUCGCGAGGCUAAGCUAAUCUCUUAAAGCUUCUCUCAGUUCGGAUUGCAGGCUGCAACU